ACCACGCCUGGCUUACCGUUUUCAAAAUUUGAGAAAGGGUUUCACUAAGGUACCCUCUUGAGGAAGAGACCUGGUCAGUUGUCCUCAUCAACUUAGACCAUGAAACCCAAUAUGGAUAAUUUCAACAGAACCUCUAUACAUGGGCUGCCCAUGCAUGCUUCAGCAAUGCCAGGGCAUACAUUUCAUUCAUCUUAAGUUGCCCAGGCUGUCCGUGAACAUUCAAUCUUCUUGCAUCGGCUUCCAGAGCAGCUGGGGUGACAGGCCUGCACCAUCAGGCAUGGCCACAACAGGUUCUUGACUGUGAAAGGAGAAGUCAGAACAUGGCAGGGGCGCGCAGAGCCAGUUCUACUGAUAGCAUGUUCAAAGAUAUGGGCCUUGGCCACCUUGGUGGCCUGAGGCUGUAUGCCCAUCAGUGUGAGCAGGGUCCAACCCCAUGAUAGAACGCAAGCUGUGAUCUACCCAACCCUGGGCACCAAGGAAGCAUGCUGCUCACCAUGGAGCUUGACUCUAGAAAGACUCUGCAGCACCUGGCAGCCAGCCCAGAAUACCCAGCCGCCACCACAAUAACAAGAUGAUGACAUUUCAUGUGACUUUCUAUAACAUGCAAAGCUCCCACCCUGUACAUCGUAGCCACAGAGUAAGACGUGACCAGGUUAGGUUAUUUUUUUUCCAUAACCUGAGGGCCAUUCUUCAUGAUGGCCAGGCUGUGGCUUAGGUUUCCGGGACAGCACCCGACCUCUGAGUGACCAACUCUGGGUACUCAGAACACACAUAUGCUUGCUUUCUGUGGGGGUAAGCGUUGGAGCUCAGUAGAGCAGUCCAGUCCCCUUGAGGUCUUGCUAGCAAGGAUCCUCAGGCAGCCUGGAAGGUGAACUAUUCAGUAGUCCCAGCAAGCUGAGCUCAGUUCCCUCCAGGCUCAUGUCACAGUCCUGUAAGACAUGUGGAUGAAGGACAAAAUCAUGGGGUAGCUGAUGUCCAGAACUGCCAAUGCCUGGCUACGCUCUCCCAUCAUCGCUUGCCUAGGACACUCAAGGCCUGGGAGAUAUGCCCCAUAUAUCUUUUCUAGAAUUUUCUACUGGGUCUUCACUCCAUCUGCCAUCCAUUUCUUCCUGGACAAAUGUGCUGCCCUACCCUUGCGUCUUAGUGGAUGCUGUUUCCUCUGCUUAGAAGGAUUUUUCUCCCUCCCUGCCAGGUUCUCGCUAAUCUUCUAAGACUGGCCUUUUAAGUCUUAGGAAACUCACGUGUGCAGGAUGCCUGUGUCCCUUAGUCCUACUGGGUACUCUGAUGGCAGGGAUCAGCAUCAGGACUGCCAUUCCAUGCUUUUGGCUGAGUGCUCCAUCACAUUCUGGGCUUUAGAAGGCAGCACUGGGGCCUCUUCCAUUGUGCAUCUCCAGCCUCCAGGAUGGUGCUCCAGUGAGCAGGGGCCAGGCAUCGGCACCCAACACUAGUGAGUGAACUAGCUUAGUCAAAGCAAAGCAGCAUUCUAGAGUAUGGAACACUGGCCAGUCUCACUUCGCAGGCUAGGUCGGGACAAGCUGAGGAAUGGGAGGAUGAGGAGAUGAGACAGUGAGUGAGAGAGGAGAGAAAAAGGAAGCAGAGGAGCUGCAGUUGGGGAAGGACUGUCAGGCAGCUUAUCACUGGGCUGCAGAACGGGUCCCUAGCAGGAACAGAAUAAAAGAACACAUCUCCAUAUCUUGAUAGCAUCUCACAAGUGUGGAGCAGGCACUGGGAGCUCCCCUGAGGUCCAGGGCUCAGGCUGCUGCUUGCUUGCCCCCAGGACAAUUCAUAGGGCACAGGUUCUUCAAAGCAACGCUACUUCCAGGGGGAAGGUGAUGCUGGGCACCGAGGGGCUACAUAUCAACUGUGCAAGGGAAGCAAUGGGUCAGUCAGUUCAGGGCUUUAGGCUUAAAACAAAACAAAACAAAACAAAACAAAACAAAACAAAAAAAGGAAGUUGAAAAGUUUUCUGCAGCUUGCAGAGAGCCAAGGUUGGAGAAGCAGAACCUUAUGUCAUGCAAUCCCAGCGGUUGGCAGGGACUGGUGGCACCAUGCCAAGUCUUGGCUCAGCUGCCCAAGUUCCGGUAAAGAAGGGCCUGUCCCUUUGACUGAGGAGUAGGGCCAUAUAUUAUACAGGCCCAUGUGUCUACAUUGUAUGGCGGCUAGACUUCCAAGCCAUAGUUUGCACCCGGCCUCACAGCAGGCCUUUACAGACAAAGGGUCAGGAUAUGCCGAUGCUGUUCUGCUCCUUCUUUGUAAUCUGGAGGACGCCUGGGAUAGAGGUGUUAAUUCGGCCUACGUGACAGAGCUGGCAUACAGAGCAGGAAGGUAGGGAGAUGUAACAAAAUGGGCAUAGAUGGGUGUAGAUGUGACCUCAGAUAUUCGCCUAGUUACCUAGGAAACAGAAUGCUAAUGAAUUUCCCCCUUAGUUUAUGUUUUGGUAUAAAAGCUGUUUGGAGAAUAAAUGCGGGUGGAUUUUCAGGAUGUGAAUUUAGGACUUCAUGAAGGAUCACUGGAAACUCCCUCCCAAUAUAGUCAUGUAAGUUGUGUCUUUAAUCCCACACCUCCUCUCUGGUCCAGAGAAAUAAUUUAUGGUUUGGAGAAAUAAUUUAUGGUCUGGGCUGGCACUGGACCCUGACACUGAGGCAGCCAUUUUGCUGGUACCAAGGCUUUCUGAACCUGGGGUUCAAUCCCUGCAGUGAUGUGCGAGGUGCAAGGUGCUGGAUUGUGGUACCUGAGGGCAAAGUAAUGAUUCACAUACCAUGGAAAUGGUUGGAAAGCUCUGGGAACUUAGGGAAUACAUGUCUUUGUAGCAUCCAAAGAUGGGCUGUUGGACUUUUGCUCAAGCUCCAGUGUUUCUCUUGGUGUGUGUGGGCACCUGCAGGUACAUGUGUGUGCACGUGGAAGCUGGAGGACAACCUUGGAGUGAGACCACCCUGCAGUUGGAGGGCCUGGAACCAAUGAGCUAGUCUGGCUAGCCAGGACCCUACCUGCUUUCAUCUCCUCAGUGGUGAGAUUACAAGUCAAGCCGCCACGCCCAUUUUUUUAAAUGUGGAUUUUAGAGCUCAACUCAGGUCCUCAUGCUUACACGGCAAGUGCUUUAGUGACUGAGCUUAUCGAUGGAGUUGUCUCCCCAGUCCCCCGAUCGCAAACUUUUAACAAAUCUUUAUUAACUAGGAAAUAGUCUCACUCUAUGCUAUAAAGGAAAAAAACAAGGCACACACACACUUGGAAGAGCCACACAGUAUGUGACUUUCCUGUCUUUAAACCACUAGUAGCUACAUGCCUCAGGCAUGUUGGAGAGCCAUCCACACAGAAUCAUCUUCCCUCUUGCAUUUAGAAUUAGUUGCAAGCAGCUCAGUCUCACAUUAGUUUUGUGGCCCCUACUGCACCCAGGAUGACAGUCUACAGAGCCCGCACUGUUGAAUGGUGGUGUUUCCAAGUCUAAACUUGGCUUUUCUUGUGUCAGCUCAUAAACAAACACUCAAGAGCCAUCCCAUGGUGCUGAGCCUGCAGGAGAUUAGCUCUGCUUUGGUGACAUCAUUCCUGUCCAAAUAGCUUAGUUUAUUUGGACAUUAAAACCAAACCAAACCAAGUACAAUAAAAUACACUCAGUGACAUGGAGAAAGGAAACAUGUUUCAAAAACUAAGAAUGAUUGUGAGACCAUUGGGUCCACUGAAAACCCAGUGAGUCUACCGUUGACUAGACAUUUCUUGACUCCGGGUGUGAGCAAAACAACUAAAAGUCACACAUAUGUUCACACAAAACACCGGCGAGAGGCAAGAAGAGGAACUGUAUUUUUGCUGCAGGGGAGGGAUCAUGUAUGAUUUUCAGCCUUGUCUUUUUCUGGUCUUGUCAGUUAAAAAGAAACCCACAACAUGCUGGGAUUUCAUAACAAGAAAAAGAUGUCUUAAAAAAGAAGUGCUCGGAGGGUACGAUGCAGAGGGAGGGCUCGCUGCUCUCCCCGGCUCAACAUCAAACCCAGCCCCUUCCCUUGGCUAAAGGGCACCAUGCUAUUUUCCACUGGGGCCAGAGCAGGGGGAGGAGGGAGCUGAAGAGCAGGGGGCAGAGCACAGGCUGAGAGGAUGUGAUGGCAAUGGCUACAGCUGAAGACACAGAGAAAGCCCCUGGUGCGAAUCCAGCUCCUAUCACAUCCUCUUACAGGAAGCCUUACGGUCCACAUCCCUCUGUCAUCUCAACAGGAAUAUCAUCCCCAUAAUUCACCUAUUCAAAACUUCCCUGACGGCUUUAAUAUAUCCAUAGUUACAUAACUGUCAUAAUAACUGCUACGGUGUUUUAGUCAUGCCCACUGUCAGUCACUCCCCAUCCAGUGGAUUAAAAGUGAAAUAUUCCCUGGAGGGGCAGGUGUUUCAGCAUUGGAUCCCAGCAGUGAUCCUGGGUGGAGGAAGUGGGCCACUGGCAGGUGGGCCUGUAGUUUUAUAACUUGGUCCCAUUUCUAGCCUCCUCUUGCUUCCUGGUGGAGAUGUGAGAUGUCCCAGACACACAUCCCAUUGACAUAAACUCUUGCCAUGGAUUGAAUCCUGCUGUGGAACAUUCUCUGUACACUGUAGAUAUGUAUUAUUCUCACUGGUUAAUAAAGAUCUGACUGGCCUAGAGCUGGGCAGAAGAGCCAAUCCUAGGAGGAUAGUGGGAGGAAGAAGGGUGGAAUCUUGGGAGUUGCCAGCCAGAGACAGAGGAAGCAGGACACGUACAAAAUGAGAUAACAAGUCAUGAGCCACAUGGUAGCAAGUAAAAUAAUAGAAAUGGGUUAAUUUAGAAUGUAAGAGCUAGUUAGUAACAGAUCUAAGCUAUCAGUUGAGCAUUUAUGAUUAAUAAUACGUCUCUGUGUAGUUAUUUGGGAACUGGCUGGCAGGAAAAGUCCACGUACAGUAUCCUCUCAAAUUAUGAGCCCAAACAUGCUUCUCUUUCUCUAAGUUGCUUCUGCUGGGUCUGGCAAUGUGACAGCCAGCUCUAACCUGAUGGUGCUAUGUCCCUGGCUGCUCUAUCCCAGGUAAUUAGUGACACUUCCCCCAGAGUGCUCAGACCUGCGUAAUAAUUUACACAUAAUUCCUCUGAGAUGGCGAAAGAUCCCUACGGGCUGCUGACCUUUGCCCUGGAAGGCAUGUGAGAUCCUAGUGGCCAGCAGGUGAGCUAAGAAUAGGAUAAUGGUGUUUCUACUGUGAGGUAUUUAACCACUCACUUUCUGCUUUUGUAAACUCACUUAUCUCCAUGGGACUGGCAUAAAGUGGUCUUUUUAUUACUAUACAAGGGGAAAGAGAAACAACUGAGAAGAGUAAAGCAAUUUUCUUGUCCAGCCGUGGAGCCCAUAGGUCACUGUACACCUUUGAUAACAUCUUCGCUGUGCACCUCUUUAAUCCCUUCCUUUAGCCCCCUUGGGCAUGGCAUGAUGUUUGGCUCUACGUCCUUCUGCUAGCAGUAAGAAUAAAUUCAUUUAAUCUAAAUUUGAAUUGAGUCUAAGUCUUUGGUCUUUCCCAGCGGAUUUGACUGCCACAACAACAUAACCUGGUCACCACUAGCCUGCCUUCCACAUCUGUGGAUUUGCCUCGGCUGAGCACAUUUACAAGGGAGUUUCACAUGUGACAGCCUCCUGUUGCAAUGUCAGAAGGUUGGACAUGCUCGGCAGAGGAGUGACGCAAUGGCUCAGCACAAUGCCUUAGGUGCCUGGGCCCUUGGCAGAUGCUCUCUGCAAUUAUCAUCGGAGCACACAAAGCCUGGCAUGGCUGCAGCUUGCACGUGCCAGGGCCAGGCGUCUGACGGUUUCAGGUCUCCAUCUGUUCCGGAGAUGGACUGGAAAGCCAACCUUUCCCUGGCUCUGGGGAAACGCCAAUCUGCUGAGUCUGACUCUGUCUUCAGCACCUGGGAUACCUCAUCAGAUCAGAGCCUUCCAGGUGGUUCCUUAGGUGUAGCACACUUGGCUUUUAAUGCCCCAUUCCCCAAGAAGUCAUUGCUGGCAGGCCAGUCUGCACCACCCUCCGUUCCCUGCAUGAUGACUUCCAUUUCUAGCUUACUUCAUGCCCGAGGCCACUCUGUUCCAGUCAGGAAUUUGGUUCUCCUAAAUUGAGUGGCUUGUUUCCAUCCAGCAAGUGCUCCCAGGCUGUUCCAGCAGGAGAAACCUACAGGGAGUCUUGGAUAUCAGCCCCAGGGAUUCGUACCUGAGUCACAGAACAGGACCGAUGAGUAUAUGUGAAGUUCAGUGCUCACCCCAGUUACUCGGUGGACCAGUACAGCAGAUUCCAUUAAGGGGCAGUGUGGAAAGGGUUUGAGCUCUUCUUUCACACUGCUGUCCCCAGACUCCUUGGGGAGAAGGCUAGAGCCUGGCCUUGGAGCUGAGGUGGGGGAUGUCUUCUCUGGUCUGCUUCCUCUGUGACUUGACUCUUCAGUCUGGGCUAAUUUUCCUCUGUUCAGUCAACACUGGAACUAUCAUGCUGGUGUUUCUGGUUCUGGGAGUCAGUUGCAGACAGUGUCCUGUGAGCAGCUGAGUCUUAAUAAAGAUGUUUUGUCUACAGACAUGCCCUGGCUCUGGGCGCUGAAGUCCUGGGCCUCUGCCCCACUACUGGCCACAGAGGCUGUUGAAACAUCUGCCUUAAACACGCUACCUCUAUACCACAUGGAAGUAGAAGAAUUUCUGUCCCCAACAUAUGUAGGUUUAGUGUUCCAGCAGCUACCAGCCUGGAGAUCUUGGCUUCUUCAGAGCCAGCAUUGAUGAGGCCCAGCCCUACGUCAGCACCGAUUAAACCAAACCUAUGCCUGCAGAGAUCUCAGUAUGGCUAGACACCCAGGAAGAGUCCAGGAAGUCUGGGCCACUAAUACAUUCUUUUAUGCAAAAGAAUGGAAGUUGGAGAUGCUCAUAACUCCACCUUAGGGUUAGUUGGUUGGGCAGGGAGAAGGUCAAGGACAUGAGGUGUACACUCUAGAUCCCCAUCACAUCUGACUUGGCUAGUUUUAUUAUCAACUUGACACAAGCUAGACUCAUCAGAGAGAAGAGAGAGCCUCGAUUAAGAAAAUGCCUCCAUAAGAUCAGGCUGUAGGCAAGCAAGUCUGGAGCAUGUUCUUAAUUAAUGAUUGAUACGGGCUGUGACAGGAGAAGCAGGGCUGAUGUUGGCCAGCCUGCAGAACUGCCUUGGUGUUGGCCUUGCCUUUCUCAGGGCCACCUCUGAUGUGAUCAGCCUGGUUAUGGUCCCUGGCAAUGCAGGGGCCCUGAGGAUCUUCCUAUUCAGUGGCUCAGCAUGAGUUGUGGAGCAUGAGUUGUGGGCUCCCAAACUAAAGUUCAGCUUCUAGCCUGGUGUCACCCAAGGACAUUUCUGCAGAGACCAUUGGUAUGAUGGCUGGUUUUAAUGUCAACUUGCCACAAAUCAGAGUCACCUGAGGAGGAAGCCUCACCAAGGGAUGCCUUAAUUGGUGUGGGACGAUCCAUCCCAAAUGUGGGUGGCACCUUCUGGUAGCACCCAGAUAAAGCAGGGCAUGGCAGACGGAGGAUUAUUCAUCUUUGCUUGCCUGGCCUUCCCCCUGGCUGCCGAGUUGUUUUCCCCUGUUGCAAUUGCUGGUUCCUGGGCAGUUAUCAGAAGCAGGGUCUCUAGGCUGCCAGUGUUGAGGGGACCAGUGACGCUCCAGGAACCCUCUAGGUCCUCGGUGACAGCCGAGACUGCUGCCGCAUGCAGCCUUGUGUGUUGAGCAACUAUUGGGUUCUUGACUUCUUCAGUGUGAAGCAGCCACUGUAGACCACACAGACUGCCAAGGCAUUGGGCCUCCAAAACCAAGCAACUAUCAGCCUCUCGUGUGUGAGACUGUUGUUACUGUUUCAAUGGAAGCUAUAGAAUAUUCACUCUGUUAGUUCUUGUAGUGGUUAGAAUAGGAAUGGCCCCCUCCAUAGGUUCAGAGAUUUGAACACUUGGUCAUUAGGGAGUGGCACUACUUGACAGGAAUUAAGGAGGUGUGGCCUUGCUGGAGUAGGUGUGGUCUUAUUGGAGGAAGUGUGCCACCAGGGGUGGCCUUUGAGGUUUCAGAAGCUCAAGUCAUGCCUGCAUGAGGCCACACUCCCUGCCAUGAUAAUAAUGAACUAAACCUCUGAAUUGUAAGCUGGCCCCAAUUAAAAGUUAAAUGUUUUCCUCUAUAAGAGUUGCCAUGGUCAUGAUGACUCCACAGACAUAGGACACUGACUAAGACAGUUCUGUUCAUCUAGAGAACUCUGAUUAAUGCAAGAGGGGAAAUCCUAGUACCCCCUCACCUCAGUACCCACCCACUCUGGUUCUACAGGGAACACUCACCCAGGCCCAGGUUGGAGAUGGUCUCAAGGUCCAGGAAGCUGCUGGCUUCAAGGAUGGCCUGGGGCAGCCGCAACGUGAAAGGUAGUAAGUCUC